rnacentral:lncRNA from 1 species
GAAAUCAACUUUCACUGAAGUUUUUUUUUUAAUAUGUAGAAGAAGCUCACAUACUUCAGGAAAACCGCAUGAAAAGUACCCAAGAAAUUCAGUGUCCAGAUGUUUCAGAAUCCAGAUGGCCUAAGAAUCCUCUAUCACCCAGAAAGGAGGAAAAUGUGCAUGAAAGUGGAACAUUUAAAAGAAAAAAAUAAUUUAGCUUUGGCUAUGUAAUGACAACAUACAGAGCUUGAGAAAAAGCUUCUUUUCCUAAAGCAGCAACUUAAUAAAAGGCAUGUUAUAGGCUUUAUCAGUAAGCCAAAAUUUCAGCCUUGCCUCUUCUUCCCAUCACCAUUAAGAGGCUUGCAGAGGUCCACACUCCUUAAAGGGCAGACAGCAUGGAAGAACUAUCAUGUACAAUUUGAAGUAGCAGCUAAAAUUGGAAUGGUCACGAGAAAGCCUGUUUCUUUGCAAUUAAAUUGACAAGCUGUCUAUGAUUACCCUAGGGAACUUGGCAGCUGAGUGAUAAAAAGACUGCAGUGUGUUGAAAGGUCUAACGCAACUUACUAGGUAGACAAAGACCACAUCUGCUUAACAUACUGAUUGGGAGAGUUGUGGAAUGUACUUGGCUACAUUAGCUGAGGAGAGAUACUAAGGAUACUUUUUCCUCUCUAAGACCCUGUGCUUAGAACCUGUUGCAGAAACUACCCACAAAUAUUUGGAAGCAUGUAUGAAAAACAGUUUAGCACAAUAUCUGAUGUUAUUCAGCAUGAACCUACCAUUACAAAUC